UAACAAGGAUUCCCCUAGUAACGGCGAGUGAAGAGGGAAGAGCCCAAGAUUGAAAGCUGGCGCCUUCGGCGUCCGCAUUGUAAUCUCAAGAAGUGUUUUCCGCUUCGGACCAUGCCUAAGUCCCUUGGAAAAGGGCAUCAUAGAGGGUGAUAAUCCCGUACAUGGCAUGGAGCGCCCGAAGCUUUGUGAUACGCUUUCUAAGAGUCGAGUUGUUUGGGAAUGCAGCUCAAAAUGGGUGGUAAAUGCCAUCUAAGGCUAAAUAUUGGGGAGAGACCGAUAGCGAACAAGUACAGUGAUGGAAAGAUGAAAAGAACUUUGAAAAGAGAGUUAAACAGUACGUGAAAUUGCCAAAAGGGAAGGGUAGGAGGUCAGAGAUGCGUCGCAGGAUUCAGCCUUGCUUUUGCUUGGUGUUUUUCCUGCGUUGCAGGCCAACGUCGGUUUUGGGCACUGGAGAAGGGUAGGAGGAACGUGGCACCUCUCGGGGUGUGUUAUAGCCUCCUACUGGAUACAGCGACCGAGACCGAGGAACGCAGCGUACUCGUAAGAGCGGGCCUUUUGGCACCUUUACGCUUAGGGCGUUGGCAUAAUGGCCCUCUACCACCC
rnacentral:rRNA from 1 species